rnacentral:rRNA from 1 species
GAUGAACGCUAGCGACAGGCCUAACACAUGCAAGUCGAGGGGCAGCAUAAAGGUAGCAAUACUUUGGUGGCGACCGGCGCACGGGUGAGUAACACGUAUGCAACCUACCUGUAAGUGGGGAAUAACCCGGAGAAAUUCGGACUAACACCGCAUAAUACUGAUUAUCUGCAUGGAUUUAUCAGUUAAAUAUUUAUAGCUUACAGAUGGGCAUGCGUAUGAUUAGCUAGUUGGUAGGGUAACGGCCUACCAAGGCAACGAUCAUUAGGGGUUCUGAGAGGAAGGUCCCCCACAUUGGAACUGAGACACGGUCCAAACUCCUACGGGAGGCAGCAGUGAGGAAUAUUGGUCAAUGGACGAGAGUCUGAACCAGCCAAGUCGCGUGAAGGAAGAAGGUUCUAUGGAUUGUAAACUUCUUUUGUAAGGGAAUAAAAAAGGCCACGUGUGGCUUCUUGUAUGUACUUUACGAAUAAGGAUCGGCUAACUCCGUGCCAGCAGCCGCGGUAAUACGGAGGAUCCGAGCGUUAUCCGGAUUUAUUGGGUUUAAAGGGUGCGUAGGCGGACCUGUAAGUCAGUGGUGAAAGUUUGCAGCUCAACUGUAAAAUUGCCAUUGAAACUAUUGGUCUUGAGUGUAAAUGAGGUAGGCGGAAUGUGUUGUGUAGCGGUGAAAUGCUUAGAUAUAAUUCAGAACACCAAUUGCGAAGGCAGCUUACUAGGAUACAACUGACGCUGAGGCACGAAAGCGUGGGGAUCAAACAGGAUUAGAUACCCUGGUAGUCCACGCAGUAAACGAUGAAUACUAGCUGUAUGCGAUAUACUGUAUGUGGCAAAGCGAAAGCGUUAAGUAUUCCACCUGGGGAGUACGUUCGCAAGAAUG